CCGUCACUGUUGCUCACGUGCAACUCUGUACGCGGCCUGGAAUUGCACUUGAGCAAUGGUGACGG
rnacentral:pre_miRNA from 1 species